GACGAACGCUGGCGGCGUGCUUAACACAUGCAAGUCGAACGAUGAAGCUGGAGCUUGCUCUGGCGGAUUAGUGGCGAACGGGUGAGUAACACGUGAGAAAUCUGCCCUUGACUCUGGGAUAACUGCGGGAAACUGUAGCUAAUACCGGAUACUUUCCCUGGUGGGCAUCCACUGGGGAAGAAAGAAUUUCGGUCAAGGAUGAUCUCGCGGCCUAUCAGCUUGUCGGUGAGGUAACGGCUCACCAAGGCGACGACGGGUAGCCGGCCCGAGAGGGUGACCGGCCACACUGGGACUGAGACACGGCCCAGACUCCUACGGGAGGCAGCAGUGGGGAAUAUUGCACAAUGGGCGCAAGCCUGAUGCAGCAACGCCGCGUGAGGGAUGAAGGCCUUCGGGUUGUAAACCUCUUUUAGCAGGGAAGAAGCGAAAGUGACGGUACCUGCAGAAAAAGCACCGGCUAACUACGUGCCAGCAGCCGCCGUAA
rnacentral:rRNA from 1 species